AGCCCCGGUAGGGGCGAGGCCGCGGGCGAGGACGGCGGCAGAGGGGCCCGAGUGGGCUCUCCUCGGAGCUGCGGGGCAGGCGGCAGCGGCCAGGGCGGGGACUCGGAGCCGAGGGCAGGGGAGACCCCCCCUCGUCGGGGUAGCGUUCAAAGUCUGCUGUCUCGACUAUCUGCGCAGAGCUGGGGCAGCAUAUGGAGUGAACACACACACGCAACCAAAUAUCUGACGACACAGACCAUCUAUCUUGACUCCCAUAUGAACUGGGUUCAUUCCACUGGUUCCUGAAAGAGUCCUCCUUACCCCCUGAAGCAGUCCAGGGUAACUGAGCUACUUGCUGGAUUUUAUGAAACACAACUGAUCAUCAAGCUAUUUUCUGAUCACUGGUUUCACAGCGUCACCUGGAGGCUGCUGAUCAGUCACAGAUGCGGGGGAGGGACCUCCAGCCUAACAAAUACACUCUCCCAGGGCCUGGAUGAAGUCAGAGAGCAAAGCAUUCAAAGCUUCUAUACGCUGAGACAGCACCCACUGGAUCCGAGAAUCCUCUCUCCAUGGAUGGAAGGGAUGAUGCGGCCUUUUUUUCCUUAUU